rnacentral:rRNA from 1 species
AAGACCAGGUAAUCCGGGUAGUGGGGAGGGUUUGGGAUGGUGGUCGCUCAAGGGGGGAGGGCGGCGAUGUCGGCAGCUGGCUGCUGGGGCAUGAUAGUAGAGGUCGGGGGCCUAGGUGGGGCAGCUGAGGAGGAGGAGGUCGAGGCCGGCUGCGACUAGUAGAGGUCGGGGGCCUAGGUGGGGCAGCUGCUGAGGAGGAGGUCAAGGCCGGCUGCGACUAGUAGAGGUCGGAGGCCUAGGUGGGGCAGCUGCUGCUGAUGCAAGGGGCGUGCCGGCCGCUGCUUCUAAGGCUGGAGCCUGCUGCACAGGGAGGGGUAGUGCUGUUACCGUGGUUUUGCUCCACCCUUCAAUUGUCUCAGACCAGUUCUACUCUGGCUCCUGGUUGGAUACUGAGUACUACUAAAAGAAUCAUACGGAUCGAGAUUUAAACGGGUGGUUCUAUACACACUAGCCUAAUGGUUUAGUCACCGUCUCUAUAGCAUAGUGUUGCCAUUUAUGUUUAGAGAACACGGUCCACAGUAGGAACUCUAACUUGUUCCGUCGAUAACGUAAGAGAAACUUACACCAUAAUACACCGCAAACUUUUAGGGUAGAAAACUCUAUUCCAAGAACUUACCAAGUCUUUAGCAGUUCAACAGGUCGCGUCAAAACCUUAGUGUAGCACAACUGUAAAAACCUUUAAUAUAUAGUAACCGACGGAAGAGAAUAUUAUGGCGAGGUUUAACGGAUAGUCGGAUAUUAUAAACCGGUCUUACGAUGAUCCCCCGUCUGGGAUAUAGAUAAACUAAAGUCUAAGCUUUGGGGUUGUCAAUGAUUUCCUUAGCACUUGAAACGGCUACUUGAAGUGAAAGAUAACCCACGAUUCCGACUAGAAGAGAUAAUAAGACCUCGAGAACAUAAGCUACUUUUAACGUUCGAACAACCGUAUCAUAAACUAGUACUUCUGUCAGAUGAUACACAGGUCCAGUUAGUGAAUUCCUUUAACGAAAACCUGAAGAAAGGUCCCUGUUUCAGAUACCUACCGAAAAUAGCCUUUAAUUUACGACGUUUCCUGAAACACUAUAUCAGCCUACUUUUUCUCCCCUUCUUCUGAGUUUCCUUCUCCUGAGGUUCAUUCUCCUCCAGUUCUGAACUUGAUUUAGUUCGUAAAACUCGAAACGAUACUUACAUUUAUUCGAGACGAUGGUGUGAGUAGGGACCGCGUACCGUUAGGGGACAGAUUCAUGGUGAAAAUAUCAUCACAUACAUACGUUGAACGUGUUUUGAUCUUUUCAUCUAUAUUUAUUAAACGCACGUCAGCCUAGGAAAAUAUAAAAAGACUUCGUACGUACAACAGACCCAUGACUGCCUCUGGUCGAUGACUCCUUUCAUAAAUUGUUUCAACGAGUUAGCGAUUUAGACUCACUUACAGUGAAACAAAUACGACACUUUCCCACUUUGUAGAGACAUUCGCGGCAGCCUCUAUUUGAUUAACAAUAACGACCGGAAAGAGGAGAACCACAGGACAACAACGAAGACUUUCGG